GUUGGGUAGGGGAGCGUUCUGUAAGCCUGCGAAGGUGUACUGUGAGGUAUGCUGGAGGUAUCAGAAGUGCGAAUGCUGACAUAAGUAACGAUAAUGCGGGUGAAAAACCCGCACGCCGGAAGACCAAGGGUUCCUGUCCAACGUUAAUCGGGGCAGGGUGAGUCGACCCCUAAGGCGAGGCUGAAAAGCGUAGUCGAUGGGAAACGGGUUAAUAUUCCCGUACUGGUGGUAACUGCGAUGGGGGAACGGAGAAGGCUAGGUUGUCCGGGCGACGGUCGUCCCGGUUCAAGCAGGUAGGCAGAGUGAUUAGGCAAAUCCGGUCACUUAAUGCUGAGAUGUGAUGACGAACCACCAAGGUGGUGAAGCAAUUGAUGCCCCGCUUCCAGGAAAAGCCUCUAAGCUUCAGGUUACCAACAAUCGUACCCCAAACCGACACAGGUGGUCAGGUAGAGAAUACUCAGGCGCUUGAGAGAACUCGGGUGAAGGAACUAGGCAAAAUGGUGCCGUAACUUCGGGAGAAGGCACGCUGGCGGUAGGUAAAGUCCCUCGCGGACAGAGCUGAAGCCAGUCGAAGAUACCAGCUGGCUGCAACUGUUUAUUAAAAACACAGCACUGUGCAAACACGAAAGUGGACGUAUACGGUGUGACGCCUGCCCGGUGCUGGAAGGUUAAUUGAUGGGGUCAGCCGUAAGGCGAAGCUCCUGAUCGAAGCCCCAGUAAACGGCGGCCGUAACUAUAACGGUCCUAAGGUAGCGAAAUUCCUUGUCGGGUAAGUUCCGACCUGCACGAAUGGCGUAAUGAUGGCCAGGCUGUCUCCACCCGAGACUCAGUGAAAUUGAACUCGCUGUGAAGAUGCAGUGUACCCGCGGCAAGACGGAAAGACCCCGUGAACCUUUACUAUAGCUUGACACUGAACAUUGAGCCUUGAUGUGUAGGAUAGGUGGGAGGCUUUGAAGUGUGGACGCCAGUCUGCAUGGAGCCAACCUUGAAAUACCACCCUUUAACGUUUGAUGUUCUAACCUAGGCCCAUAAACUGGGUCGGGGACCGUGUCUGGUGGGUAGUUUGACUGGGGCGGUCUCCUCCUAAAGAGUAACGGAGGAGCACGAAGGUUGGCUAAGCAUGGUCGGACAUCAUGCGGUUAGUGCAAAGGCAUAAGCCAGCUUGACUGCGAGAGUGACGGCUCGAGCAGGUACGAAAGUAGGUCUUAGUGAUCCGGUGGUUCUGAAUGGAAGGGCCAUCGCUCAACGGAUAAAAGGUACUCCGGGGAUAACAGGCUGAUACCGCCCAAGAGUUCAUAUCGACGGCGGUGUUUGGCACCUCGAUGUCGGCUCAUCACAUCCUGGGGCUGAAGUAGGUCCCAAGGGUAUGGCUGUUCGCCAUUUAAAGUGGUACGCGAGCUGGGUUUAGAACGUCGUGAGACAGUUCGGUCCCUAUCUGCCGUGGGCGUUGGAAGAUUGAGAGGGGUUGCUCCUAGUACGAGAGGACCGGAGUGAACGCACCACUGGUGUUCGGGUUGUCAUGCCAAUGGCAUUGCCCGGUAGCUAAGUGCGGAAGAGAUAACCGCUGAAAGCAUCUAAGCGGGAAACUUGCCUCGAGAUGAGUCUUCCCUGUCACUUUAAGUGACCUAAAGGAACGUUUAAGACUAAGACGUUGAUAGGCUGGGUGUGUAAGCGUAGCGAUACGUUGAGCUAACCAGUACUAAUGAACCGUGAGGCUUAACCUG
rnacentral:rRNA from 1 species